AGGCCUUUGUGCAGCAGGGCGGCCCGGGAGCUGGGAGCCGCCGGCCCCCAAGCACUGUGCUGGGCCAGGAGAGUGCGCAUGCGCGCGGCGACCUGUGCGCUCGGGUUCUGUGCCGGCUUUUACCCCAGCUGAAUAACCUGGUGGUCACAAGAAAGCAAAGGGAUUUUUAUGUGACAUCAUCUUGGCAAGAAGCUCCCUUACCAACCUUGACCUCCAGGUCUCCAUGGCAACUGCUGCUGGGACAUCAUUGGCACCAGAUUGUGUCCCUUAAAGGCCACACUGCAGCAAGGGCAGAUAAACAAUUUCAUGGCAACAGUCA
ensembl:lncRNA novel transcript, antisense to RAD51L1